rnacentral:misc_RNA from 1 species
GUGGAUAGUUCUUACCUUGGAAGCUCAGAUGAUGUUGCUAAGUUAAUGGAGAGAGUUGAGAACACAUUCAUCAAACAUUUCUGCAACGCCAAUCGCAGCAAAGCAAUGAGUAUUUUAAGACCCAAAGCUAAGAGAGAGAGACAUAGAACAACCUUUUCCAUGGGUUUUCUAGCUGGCUGUUCUGCAGCUCUUGUUUUAGCCCUCAUCUUAAUUAUCCGUGCCCGC